rnacentral:rRNA from 1 species
GUCGAACGGUGCUUUCGGGCACAGUGGCGGACGGGUGAGUAACGCGUGAGAAUCUGGCUUCAGGUCUGGGACAACCACUGGAAACGGUGGCUAAUACCGGAUGUGCCGAAAGGUGAAAGGUUAACUGCCUGAAGAUGAGCUCGCGUCUGAUUAGCUAGUUGGAAGUGUAAUGGACUCCCAAGGCGACGAUCAGUAGCUGGUCUGAGAGGACGAUCAGCCACACUGGGACUGAGACACGGCCCAGACUCCUACGGGAGGCAGCAGUGGGGAAUUUUCCGCAAUGGGCGAAAGCCUGACGGAGCAAUACCGCGUGAGGGAGGAAGGCUCUUGGGUCGUAAACCUCUUUUCUCAGGGAAGAACACAAUGACGGUACCUGAGGAAUAAGCAUCGGCUAACUCCGUGCCAGCAGCCGCGGUAAUACGGAGGAUGCAAGCGUUAUCCGGAAUGAUUGGGCGUAAAGCGUCCGCAGGUGGCUAUGUAAGUCUGCUGUUAAAGAGUCUAGCUCAACUAGAUAAAAGCAGUGGAAACUACAUUGCUAGAGUACGUUCGGGGCAGAGGGAAUUCCUGGUGUAGCGGUGAAAUGCGUAGAGAUCAGGAAGAACACCAGUGGCGAAGGCGCUCUGCUAGGCCGUAACUGACACUGAGGGACGAAAGCUAGGGGAGCGAAUGGGAUUAGAUACCCCAGUAGUCCUAGCCGUAAACGAUGGAUACUAGGCGUG